GAUGAACGCUGGCGGCGUGCCUAAUACAUGCAAGUCGAGCGAACGGACGAGAAGCUUGCUUCUCUGAUGUUAGCGGCGGACGGGUGAGUAACACGUGGAUAACCUACCUAUAAGACUGGGAUAACUUCGGGAAACCGGAGCUAAUACCGGAUGAUAUUUUGAACCGCAUGGUUCAAAAGUGAAAGACGGUCUUGCUGUCACUUAUAGAUGGAUCCGCGCUGCAUUAGCUAGUUGGUAAGGUAACGGCUUACCAAGGCAACGAUGCAUAGCCGACCUGAGAGGGUGAUCGGCCACACUGGAAGUGAGACACGGUCCAGACUCCGACAGGAGGCAGCAGUAGGGAAUCUUCCGCAAUGGGCGAAAGCCUGACGGAGCAACGCCGCGUGAGUGAUGAAGGUCUUCGGAUCGUAAAACUCUGUUAUUAGGGAAGAACAUAUGUGUAAGUAACUGUGCACAUCUUGACGGUACCUAAUCAGAAAGCCACGGCUAACUACGUG
rnacentral:rRNA from 1 species